UACGUAGGGGGCGAGCGUUGUCCGGAGUUACUGGGCGUAAAGGGCGCGUAGGCGGCUCAUGAAGGCUGUGGUGAAAGUCCGGGGCUCAACCUCGGAUCGGCCGUGGCGACUCGUGGGCUGGAGCACUGUAGAGGCGGGUGGAAUUCCGGGUGUAGCGGUGGAAUGCGUAGAGAUCCGGAAGAACACCAGUGGCGAAGGCGGCCCGCUGGGCAGUGGCUGACGCUGAAGCGCGACAGCGUGGGGAGCAAACAGG
rnacentral:rRNA from 1 species